AUGUUUUUAUUAUUUAUUUUUAAUUUUUAUAAUUUUUUUUUAAUUUUAUGGAAGUGUGACUAUUUUAAGGCAAUUUCUUUUUCUUAGGAAUCUUAUAACUAGAAAUUUUUUUAAUUUCAAAACUCAUUGUUUUGUAGGAAUUUCUUUUAAUUUUUUUAAAUUAUUUUCUAUAUUAUUAUUUUUAUUAUUAAUUUUUAUUUUUUUUAUUAUUUUUUUUUUAUUAUUUUUUUAUUAUUUUUUUUUAUUUUUUUUAUUAUUUAUUUUUACUUUUAAAUAUUUUUUUCUUACAUUUCUUACGCUAGUUAUCUUGUAAACGCUUAACUUAAUCGACAAAUUAUAGGAGACCAUUUUGUAAAGUAUUUAAUUUCCUACAAAACAUCUGAAACGGGAUAUAUUUUCAAGUAGUUGUAAGCGAGUUUUGAAUUUUCUACAUGAUAAUUAGCAAAAAAUAAAAAACUUUAAGGCGGAGAACCUGCUCGUUACAAUUAAGGGCUCAUACUUGGAGAAACUUUCUUAGUGGUGCCUAAGAGCAUAUUUUUCAGAGUGCAAAGCGAAAAAAAACCAAAAACCACCAAUAGAUUUUUUUUACACACCCUAAUACACAUAGCAUCUAAUACGUACAUAUAUGUAUUUAGAACAAUGCAUAUAAUAUAAUAUAUUUAGCUGCAACAUUUUGAAUUUUCAAAUAUUCUACUUUACGACGCAAGCGCAGGCAAAUUUGUGCAUAAAUUACGGAAUCUAAAAAAUUUAAAUAAAACAAACACUCAUUUCUAUAAAUAUGAACACUUUUUGUUUCAUUUCAUUUUUGUUGGUUUUCGUUUUUUUUCAUACCCCGAACAGGUUAUUUUAAGUUUGCCGCGAAGUUUGUAAAGCCCUGUAAUAAAAAAACAUCGGAGGUCUUAUAAAAUAAAGGGUGUUUUUUUAGAAGUGUAGUUUUCAGGAAGAAAUAAAACGCAUAUUAUUUAAUUUUAUUGCUAAGAAUUUAUUUACAAAGAUAAGGUUUUGGUUUUAAAAAUGAUUUUGACCAAGUGCCUGACGCGUCUGGCUCGUAUGAAUUCAAACCGAGAGGCCCAAUUCGACACUACUCUUUGCAAUAACGAUCCUUCGAUCCGAUCGAUUUUCCUCCAACGUGUUAAUCAUCUUGGGCUUAAUUGCGUAGACAAGCGACCUACAAACACAGUAGCUCAAACAGACUCCACAAAUAGUAGUCCAGCGGUGUUAAAUCGUACGAUCUUGUGGGCCACGCCACAAACCUACGACGCGAGAUAAUGUGCUCACCAAGACUUUUCUUCAUUAAAUUGAUAUUUUCAUUGGCUGUAAGACAUGUAGCGUCGUCUUGUUGGAAAUAAAGGUUCAUCACAUUAACAUACUUCAAUUCAGGCACGAAAAAGUCAUUAACGAUGGCUCUACAGUGUUCCCCAUUCACUGAACAUUACGACCGAUUUCAUUUUUGACGAAAUAUGAACCAAUGACUCCCUCUGCCCACAGUGAAUUCUUCAGCAUGUAACGGCGUUUCAAAAAUGGCUUCAUCGUCAAUACAAAUACGACAAUUUUGUUUAUUAAAGAUACUCUGCUCGACUGUGUGACUUGUAUCGCGUCUCUGAGCAUGCACAUUAUCGACCAGGGGAAACGUGGUGCGAAAUCUAUCCAUGGUUGCUCGAAUAACCUUGCAUAUCGACCGAACUAUGGACUCAAAGCGCUAUGCGUCGCGCUAACUGAUCCCUUAUUAUUGUAAAAUUGCACGAUUUGCAAAUUUUGAAAUUGAGGCGAUUUGAUAUGUAAUUUUGAUACUUCUUUCAGUCCCUUGAACUGCUUGAGCUUCUAGAUAUCUAAGACAAUUUCUUGAUAAGGCUGGACAGAUGCAUAAGAAAUCUUCUCUGUACUAUUUUAAUACUGAAUAAAAAGAUAGUAGUAAUCUGGGCUGCUGACAUAAGAGUACAACGUUAAUGACGGCAAUAUUUCUUAAUUUUCUUUUAGUUCAGUGAAUAAUAUUGAUGUUUUCAAUAAACUCAGAUUCGAAUUUCGAAAGCAAAUAUUUCGAUUAUUGUUCGAAAAUGGACCUAAUUUUUCUUUGCUUACCAGUCAAUCUUUCGAAUUUUAGAAAAAUAUCAAAUCAAAUGCUGUCUGCUAUAUUUGACAAUAUGUUCUGCCUAAUCUGUGUUUGCCCUUCAAAUUUUUGUAAUAGAAAUUUAGCUUUGGAAAUCAUUUUUGAAGUACAAUCUCUUCACGACUUAACGCUCUGUUCUCACACGGUUUAUGACAUUGUAACUGACAAUCAAAUUUCAAUAAUAAAGUAAGGCAUCACAGUGGUUUUUUCAUCACAUUGUCAUAUAUUUAUAGCUUUUGAAUUUCAGCAAAUUUAGUUUUAAAAGUUUAGUUUUUAUUAUUUUGUUUUUUAAUUUGUUUUCUAACGAGUUUGACGCUCCAUAGCUUGUCAUACAUGUUUCAAUUAAAUAAGGUUAUGUUAAAUGGAAUGUCUGCUGCAAGUUAGGAAAAAAUUUUAUUAUUAUUAAAAUGCUUUUAAUAUUCUUUAAUUUUUUUCUUAAGGUUUUCUGACUGUGGAAAUCCGUAUUUAUAGUUCAGCAGUAGGGUAGCAGCUCUCAGUAUAUGAUUGCCUGCCGAUCUCGCCAUACAAAUAGCAAAAUCUUUAAGAUAGAUAAUUUCAAACUUCUUAUAUUCAAAACCAAUUCGACCAACUUGGCCAUGGUGAGCAUGAAUGUCGGUAGAUAUAUACCGAAAUUUAAGGAAUGCAUAUUUCUUUUGAAUUUUCGUUUUAAAUUAUGCCUCCAAAGACACAUUUUUAAUGGCUGGUACAUUUAAAAAAAAUAAUUUUGUAUUAUAAAAUCAAUGAAAACAGCUGAUUUUAACACUACGAAUGUAAGCUGGUAUGACAAAUUGUUGUUUUGUGCAUUCUUAUCAUUUUUUUUUUACUUUUCUUAUUCAUUUAUCGCUCCAAAAAUCAUUUCUAUUUUUGCAUUUUAAAAUUAAGGAAAACAGCUGAUUUUGACAUUACGAGUGAAA